GUGGUUGACUACCUCACCAACUGGAUCGCCGGCACACCCCCUCCUUCCCUGGCCACUCUUUCGGUCUACGGCACCGAGCCGUUGAAUCUUAUUGGCAACGAUCGGCAGGAGGGAUUCUUUGUCGAGAGCAAGUUCGAGAACAGCUAUGGCUCGCGCGUGGAUCGAAAGGCCGGCACCGGGCACCGGUUCUAUCAAAACGGUUAGUCCACGUUCGAAAAGCAAGAACUUGGGUUGAGUCCGUCCCGGCAGCCCAUCGCGGCCCAGGAAAAACCGAGUCUCUUAGGAUUUCCAAACCCUAAGGUUACGAAUGGGUUCUUCACUUUGUAAAAGAGCAAGAAGUCGGCGACAAAACCGUCGGCUGCCGUGAGAUCGUGGGUGGGGGCGAAAGAGCAGACUUUACUUUAACGACGGUCGGCGAAAGAGGGUGGACGAUGGACGAACAUGAGAUCUGUUCUUCGGCUUCGAGAGACGAGUUCUAUGAAGAUCUUGCAUCAGGCCAUCUCCGACGGCACCACCAUCAAAACAGUUGAGUCCACCUUAUAAACCACCAUCAAAACAAAUGUCAAAUAAGCCGGAAGAACACAUCUCAUAUUCGUACAUCGUCCACCCGGAGUUCUUCUGCCGGUAGUCGUUGAAGGAAAGGCUGCUCUUUCACCUCGCCACCAUCUCGCGCCUGUCGACGGUUUUGUUGACUAGUUCUUGCUUUUUGUCCAGAGUCUAAGAACCGAUGUCGAUCCACGCGCGAGCCGUCCGUAAAUAAGUAUCGCUCAGCGUGGACAGUGAAGGGUGUGCCCCUGUAGCCUCUCGGAACAAGGUCGACGGGCUCCAUGGACGACGGUUGUUUCUUGAAGAGGAGAAGAGAGGAAAUGAACGAGGAAGAGGAGAAGGGAGCAGAGAGGCGAGGGGCGAGAAGACAAAGUGCCUUCAUCUUCUUUGAAUCCCAUCGCCCCGUUCGGUCUUACUCGACUCGGAAACAAAGGUUCGAGGAUCUUGAAGAUGGAGGUAUCUGCGCUGGUGUUGUGGCUUUUGAGGGUGGGAGCUGAUGAAAGGUACAAGAUUUGGUGUUGUAUUGGCAAUCCGUUGGCAUUGCAUUAUGCUUCCGAGGCCAAGUGCUUCACAGUGCCAUCUUCAGCAGAGGGCUGGAGCUGAUGGAACCAAUAAUAGGUCCCUGUAUGUCAUCAAGGUCGGACCUUUCCACAAUGCCAAGUGAUUUCUUUUCGAUUCUUACCACACCAUCGCUUUGGUAAGUCGAGUUUACUAAGAGUUUAGUUUAAUGAGACAGUUAGUUAAAUAAUGUCUAAAUGAUUCUACUAUAGUUGAUCUAUCAGUUAGUUAAUGACACAGUUAAUUAGUCGAGAUAAAUGGUACUAAAAAUUGUUCAAUAAUGUUAAUUUCAGUUUUGAAAAUCCUAAUGGUUCUAAACGAUCAAAUAUGAGUCACAAAUUUGUUUAUCAAAGAGAUUCUUCAAAGUAGCAGUCUGGAUUGAUGCAGAAUGAUAUUUGAGAAAGUUUCUUUGACAUCCAUGCAACUUCUUAUUAAUGUUCUUCGUUGGGACUCUCACUACCAACCACAAUGAAUCAUACUUAUGUAGAUGUUUCUCUAAAAUAAAGAUCCGGAAGUACACUGUCAAGCUUGGGUAGCUUCUUAGCAUAUACUUCAAGAUUGAGUAGCAAUAUUAUCAGACAAAUAGGAUAGAUGGAUCACAGCAACACUCAUCAAUAUGAAAAGAGGCAAAAUCAUCACAAAAAUCAUAGUAAGUGAACUCCAUUUCUCAAAAGACACAAAUGCAACCAAUUUAUUUUGCGAUCUCAUUUUUUAUGCAGAUUUACUGAUUAAACUUAUUUUCUUUCAAUUUAAUUUGCCCUUUUUGAGAACCUAUUCUGCAAAAAGAUUAUCCUUUGCAAGACCUUUUGGCAUAUUUUCCCGCUCUUGAUUUUAUUUCUUGAGAGAAAUGAAUUUUUCCUCCCAAGCUAAGAAUUUGGUUUUCUGCAGUCGAUAAUCUGGAGAUAUUACAUCUUUUUUAAUUGCAUUCGUUUGCAGAGAACAUAGUGCUGCAACACCCAUAUAGCCGAAUACUUUCAAGCAGACAGCUAGAGUGGCCCUAUGUGCAUCUUCACUGUAGUGCCAGAUUUAUUUUGCUGGAGCAUUGUUAGGAACUAGCUUAUUAAGUAAAUGUUUUUAUUUCUUUAGAUUAUUAGUUAUCGAAUUCAUCAUGGCAAUCAGAGUUCUGCAUUCACUAUCUCCCUCACCCCACAACAUGGAACUUGUGGUUCGUUUUAACAUUUCAUUCAGUGAUGUACUUCCAUGUGAUGACAUGAAUUUAUGCAUCUUCUUUCAGGUUGAGAGAUCAUUUGACUUAUCCAGGGUUCGUAAAUGUUUUUUUUUCUUGACUUGAUUAAAAACAUGUAUGUUUAUUCUGUGGGUUAUGGAUGUAUUUUACAGAUUUUCUGGUGAACUAUACCUAAAAUUUGUAUGUGUCUUUGAGAUGUCACUUAUAUGAAUUCAUGCCUUCUUGUUAAUUAUUGAGGAUCAAAAUUUUCAA